CAUUUCUCUCUCUUUGUCUUUUGCCUUACUAAUUCUGAUGUGAUUGUUUUUUCAGCCUCAACUGAAUAGCAGAGAGAUUUUGGCUUUCAUUCCAGAAUGAUGUCUCACAGAAAGUCAACUCGUGUUCCAGGUAUGUGAUAAACAUCUCACUAGUGAACUUCUUGCUGUUUCUAAGCGAUUAACGGUUUGGUUAGCAAGCCCAGAGCCCUGCAGAUACCUUUUGCCUCCUACACAAGAAGUAAGCUAAUGAAACCCACGGAGCACGGCCUGCCCCUCUGCUUCCCUUUAAUGGUUUCUGUCACCCAGGCCAGGCUGCCGCCACCAUGACUCUGCACAUCGAUGUGCCGCCUCAGGGCAAGCAGAAUGCAAAUGACGGUGGCCCUCAAAUUGCAAUUUAAGGAUAGCUGUUAUAUCUUCCCAUAUAUUUCUCUUCCUAACCUCCAAAUUUGAGGAUAAUGUGCUGUUUUAACUUAUUCUUAGUAGGAAGAAUGUUAAACCUUAGGGUGAUGGUAGUGUAUUGCUGAAUUCUGUGUUUUGGAAUAAAUUAGAUUUUUUUGAUGUGGAGAAGGGAGAAAGGGGGAGAACUAAAUGCAAAGAUAAUUUGAUUUUAAAAGCUGGAGUUUCCUGGUUCCUGGGUUCUAGAUAUUUAAAAAAUAGCCACAAUUAAUUAUGUAAUAAAUUGUAGGAGGUUGUCAAGUUGUCAUCUUUAUUAAGGUGUUUCUUGCCAGACAUAUUCAAAAUCUGUGUACUCAGAUGUUAACUGCAUUUGACUCUAUUGAUUAAAAUAUACUUUCUGCCAUCAAAAUGGAACUCCAAGAUGUAAAGGGAAAGAACACUUUAAAAGGCGUUUCCAAAGUCGUCUUGGAUAGAGGAGCUUUCAUCCAAGGGUGCUAUGUGGCAUUCCGGAAAUGAAUCAGAGACUUGGGCCCUCCACUUCCUUAGAAACAGAGACACGCUGAAGAUCGUUAGGGUAAAUGAGUGGGACAAAGUACACUCUGCAUUUUCUUUUUAAUUUCAACUAAAAAAAAUGCUGCACUCUUGUCUUGGCUGGAGAAACAUCCUCAGCCUGUUCAUCUCCUAUCCUCUGCCCAAAUCAACUCCAAAUUUGACUGACUGAAUUUUCAGUUCCUAUAUUUUCAGAUCAGUUCCUGUAUUUUCAGAUCUGGCUCUCUCUGUGGUUGUGGUGGUAGCAGUGGUAGUGGUUAUGGAGUCUGUAAGACUUGCCAUUUUUAAAAUGCCGAAAGCUCUCUUCAGGUUAAAUAGUCUCUCUGUGUGAUUCUCAAAUGAACUCCUUGAGGAAGAAUGUUCUGUGUGUAUCUAGAAACCUUAGUUCUACAAGAAUGAGAGCUAAAGAAGCUCACCCAUGUCCCACAGAAACCACUUCUUCCCUUUCCUGAACAAGAAACCGAUGUUCUUCAUCUACUGUCUGUCCACCCAGGCUUGGAAGACAGGUGAAAACAAUCCCAUCUUUCUAUUCCUAGAAAGAGGUAGGGAUGUGAUGCUUACAUUCCCCUGGCUUUUACUUGCAUCAAAUGUGGGAGGAAGGAAUAAAAGAGAAGAGGAAACUAAAACCUGAGAAAGGGCAAGAAGAGAAAGUAUUAGGUUGAUGCAAAAGUAAUUGUGGUUUUUGCAAUUACUUUUAAUAGCGAAUCCCCGCCCCCCAAAAUCAUCUAGCAAUCUGCCCUCUGGAGUGAACUUGAAUAAAAGUAGGUAAUAGUACCACUCUUGGCUUAGAAGUAUCUGAUUAUCCCUACUAACCAGUACAAGACAUAGAUUUCUGAAGGAAAAGGAUGCCUACCAUUGGCUCUUUUUUGUUUUUGUAGUUUGAUUUUUCUUAUUUUUUAAAAGGUUCUAAAAAUAAUACAUAUAUACCUGGUAGAAAAUUUGAAACUUAGAAAGAAGUUAAAAGAAGCCUACAAAAUAUCACCGCAUCAUAUUAUCUUAUUAGCCAAAUGCAACCACCACUACCAUCCAGGGAGGGUUCUUGCCAGUAUUUUCUCUAUUUUUUCGUAUGCUUUUAAAAAUCUUCACAACUAAAAUCAUUCUGUGCACAGAAUUUCACAUACUACUUUUUAUUCAAUCAAAAAUAUUUUCUCAUGUGUUUAUUAAUUCUUUAAAUAUUAUUUUAAUGGCAGUAUAAUUUGCCAUCAUAUGACUAUAUUAUAAUUUAUUAAUAAUUUUCCUAAUAAAGGACAUUCAGAGUGUUUAGAAUUUUAGCCAUUAUAAAUAGUAUUAAAUAAACAUGGUUUUUGUGUGCAUUAAUCUUUACUUUUUAAAUUAUUUCCUUAGAAUAAUCUACUGGAAGUAGGAUUACCAAAUCAAAGAGUAUCAUCAUUUUCAAGACUUUAGUACCUAUCGCCAAGAAAGCUGUAUCAAUUUAUAUUCACAGUAUAUUAAUGUCUUUCUGAAACUGACUGAAUUGAUUAAUGUCAUUUAAAAAUCAUGCUAUCUUGUUAGGCCUCUGAUACUUUGUAUUUACUGGUAAGGCUGAAAAUUGUUUACAGACUAAUGAAACACAUUAUAUAUUAAGGUUAUUUAUUUUGUGCCUUAAUAUUUGAAAAAAUACAUCUUCUUAUCAGUUUGCUUUUUGUCCUUUUUGCUGAUUGUUUAUGAUCUUUUUUGACAUACAAAAAUUUUAUUUUUCUCUAUAUUUCAAUGUAUUGAACUUUGUAUUCUGUAAUUUCUUCUAUUACUGUAAAGUAGAGAAAAUCUGCCUGUAUCUAGAUAAAUAUGCAGAAAUACAUUCUCGUUAUUUAAUUAAUUUUUCAAAAAUAUUUCUUGAAUUUAUCUAGGAUUUGUUAUACGGCGUGAAAAAAAUUUAUUUUUCUCUGAUAAGCUAAAAAUCAUCAUGCACAAUUUAUUACUUUUUCCCCACAGCUUAUAUAUGUAUUCUAUUGACACAUAUGCAAGAUUCUUUUUACAUAUGCGAGAUUAUGUUUUGGGGUUUUCUUUCAGCACUUUACUGAUCUCUUUGCCUAUUCAUUUAUCAGUAGUUUCUCCAUCCCUAGUCCUUUUCUUUCUUUUUUUCUUUCUUUUUUUUCUAAAGUUCUUUUAACUAUUCUUAUUUCUUUCAACUUAAAAGGUGGCCAAGAUGACAUACCAGAAGGCUGUCUAAAAUUAUUGGAGAAAGAGAAUCUUUGCCUUUAAAGUUUUAGGUCUUAGGUGAAAACGAUGCAGUGUUAGCUCUUGUGUCUAUAAAGGGUGGGGUUCAUGCUAUGACACAGAAAAUCAGAAAGGACUUUCUUGACAUUUGUAGAAACAGUAAUAUAAAGAAGAAUUAGGUACCUUUUGGUUCAUCUUAAGUAAAGAAAAUUUCCAGUGAGGAGAUUGAGACAUUUAAUGUUAAAAAGAUCCUCUCUCUUCUAGGGCACGAGUAAAGAUAUCAACCCAUCUAUCUGUAGAAAAUUGCCAGAAACUGUCACAAAAUAAAAAAUGAGAGAAGGCCUGAAUUACGACAGUCCUGGUGGGGUUCUACAAGGCAGCAUGAGGGAGAGGAGAGAGGACUAUUUUACCAAGAUUUUAAGACUUUCAAACAACCAGGGAAGGCUUCUGUGGACAGGCUGUCUCUGCACUAGGACUAAAGAACCAGAACUGUUCAGAAAGAGAGAAGAGCCCAGCACCUUAUACUCAGGAGAUACUGAAAAACAUCAUAUAAGGUGUUUACUGUUGAGAGAAAAGUACACAUCAGAGGAUGCCCAUUAUUGAUAUAGAGCCUUCUCUGUAUCUGGAUGAACGUGACCAGGAAGCCACCCUCAGCCUGCUGCAGCUGUUUUCAGAAUCUGUGGGAUCACACCCCAGAGGCAGUUGGGUCAGCCGCAGGCAUCAGGUGAGGAGGAGGAAGAGUGAGACAGCUAUUACAGGCUGCCGGACCAGGUGGCUGUGAAGAGGUGUGGGGACACCAAGGCUUAUAUAAGGAGGAUGGAGAACACAGGCCAAAGGGGAGGCUGUAAUGCUGACUUCGAUUGGCUAACUUAAUAUAAGGCAGACUGAGGGAGGAGGAGGAGGGCAGGAGAGAACACGCUUUAGAAAGCAUGACGGUGUCUCAUUCUGUUUGCAAGUGAGCACGUAGGUGCCUUCCAAAUAUGAUCCUGAAGAAGGUGCAGAUAAAUGAAAAAUUGGAUAUACAAUAAACCACAUACCUCUUUAUGUUUAUAUAUGAACAUAUUAAAGAAGGUUGGCUUUAGUAGAGUAUGAUGCAUAUUCUAAUUAUAUCAAUAUUGGAUGCAUUGUUAGUACCAUUUCUCAACUUCAUUUAAAAAUCACUUUCAGAAAAUACAAAAAAUAAUUCUGAAGAUUUUAACCUUAGGUGCCCGUAGAUCAUUUUCUUAGGAAACUGCAGCUUUUAGAAAUGCUGGACAUACUUUAUCCAAAGCGUUAUAACUGGUCUUCCACAAGCCUAGGAUAAAGUUUUCCACAGAAACACUACUACAGAAAAAUGCCACAUGCCAUGGAUUAAACACUGAAACCAGCUAAUCACAACACAUGAGAGCAAAUGUAGCAUGUUCAGAGAAGUACAAAUAUGUUGAAACAUGUCUGUCAUGAAAUCUGAUCUUAACAAUCCUCUGAAGACUAGCCUUUUUGCAAAGAGAACUUAUGACUAAUAUACCUCACGGAGGGGGUCUCAGUUUCUAAUAGAGUUAAUUU
rnacentral:lncRNA from 1 species